rnacentral:rRNA from 1 species
CCGUAAUACGAUGUCUAUCUAGAACUUGUGGGGAGUUCUGAUACUUUCACGAUCGGAAGCAAAAGUGUUAAGGUAGACCACCUGGGAAUCUACGGCCGCAAGGUCUAAAAACUCAAAGGAAUUGACGGGGGCUUCACACAAGCGGUGGAGCAUGUGGAUCAAUUCGAAGCAAAGCGAAGAACCUUACCUGGGUUUGACAUGCUUGUAUGCCUGCCCGGAAACGGACCAGGCUGCCCUUCGGGGUGAAACUUGCACAGGUGCUGCAUGGCUGUCGUCAGCUCGUGUCGUGANAUGUCGGGUUAAGUCCCUCAACGAGCGAAACCCUUACCGUUAGUUGCCAGCGGGUAAUGCCGGGGACUCUAACGGGACUGCCGGUGUAAAACCGGAGGAAGGCGGGGAUAACGUCAAGUCAUCAUGGCCUUUAUGUCCAGGGCUUCACACGUGCUACAAUGGCGAGUACAAAGCGAAGCAAAACCGCGAGGUCGAGCCCCUGGCAAAAAAGUCGCCUCAGUUCGGAUUGUUGGCUGUCAANUCGCCUGCAUGAAGUUGG